rnacentral:rRNA from 1 species
GGGUUGUGAGGUUAAGCGACUAAGCGUACACGGUGGAUGCCCUGGCAGUCAGAGGCGAUGAAGGGCGUGCUAAUCUGCGAUAAGCGCCGGUAAGGUGAUAUGAACCGUUAUAACCGGCGAUACCCGAAUGGGGAAACCCAGUGUGAUUCGUCACACUAUCAUUACGUGAAUACAUAGCGUAAUGAAGCGAACCGGGGGAACUGAAACAUCUAAGUACCCCGAGGAAAAGAAAUCAACCGAGAUUCCCCCAGUAGCGGCGAGCGAACGGGGAGGAGCCCAGAGCCUGAAUCAGCAUGUGUGUUAGUGGAAGCGUCUGGAAAGGCGCGCGAUACAGGGUGACAGCCCCGUACACAAAAGCGCAUGUGUUGUGAGCUCGAUGAGUAGGGCGGGACACGUGGUAUCCUGUCUGAAUAUGGGGGGACCAUCCUCCAAGGCUAAAUACUCCUGACUGACCGAUAGUGAACCAGUACCGUGAGGGAAAGGCGAAAAGAACCCCGGCGAGGGGAGUGAAAAAGAACCUGAAACCGUGUACGUACAAGCAGUGGGAGCACCCUUUGGGGUGUGACUGCGUACCUUUUGUAUAAUGGGUCAGCGACUUAUAUUCUGUAGCAAGGUUAACCGAAUAGGGGAGCCGGAGGGAAACCGAGUCUUAAUUGGGCGUUAAGUUGCAGGGUAUAGACCCGAAACCCGGUGAUCUAGCCAUGGGCAG